rnacentral:rRNA from 1 species
UGCCAGCCGCCGCGGUAACACGGGGGGCGCAAGCGUUAUUCGGAAUUAUUGGGCGUAAAGGGCGCGCAGGCGGUCUUGUCCGUCAGGUGUGAAAGCUCGGGGCUCAACCCCGGAAGUGCACUUGAAACAGCAAGACUUGAAUACGGUAGAGGAGAGAGGAAUUCCUGGUGUAGAGGUGAAAUUCGUAGAUAUCAAGAGGAACGCCGGUGGCGAAAGCGACUCUCUGGACCGUUCCUGACACUGAGGUGCGAAAGCUAGGGGAGCAAACAGGAUUAGAUA